GACGAACGCUGGCGGCGCGCCUAACACAUGCAAGUCGAGCGAGAACCAACCCUUCGGGGUUGGGGACAGCGGCGAACGGGUGAGUAACACGUGGGUAACCCACCCUCGGUUCCGGGAUAG
rnacentral:rRNA from 1 species